AGAAAGAUAAACUAAUUAAAGUUAAUAGGUUCAUACCCUAUCUAUAGAAGUAAAACCUCCUUCUUUCUA
rnacentral:tRNA from 2 species